rnacentral:rRNA from 1 species
CCUACGGGAGGCAGCAGUGGGGAAUUUUGGACAAUGGGCGCAAGCCUGAUCCAGCUAUUCCGCGUGUGGGAUGACGGCCCUCGGGUUGUAAACCACCUUAGUAGAGGACGCAAAGGAGCUAUCGAAUAAAUAGCUCUGCUGACGGUAAUCUAAGAAUAAGCACCGGCUGAAUACGUGCCAGCAGCCGCGGUAAUUAGUAGGGUGCGUGCGUUAAUCGGAAUUACUGGGCGUAAAAGGUGUGCGUGCGGCAGAGUAAGAGAGAUGUGAAAUCCCCGGGCUUAAACUGGGCACCGCAAAUGUGACUGGUUGGCUAGAGUGCGUCAGAGGGAGGUGGAA